rnacentral:lncRNA from 1 species
UACCUUGAUAAUAACCAACUUCAAGGUUCAAUCCCUUCUUGUGUUGGUAGUUUAUCAAAGAUGCAGUACUUAAGCCUUGAUUCUAAUCUAUUAAAAGGUCCUAUUCCCCAAGAAAUUUGUAAUCUAGCAAAUUUAACUUCAUUGUACCUCUCCCAAAACAAAUUGACAGGUUCAAUCCCUUCUUGUAUUGGUAGCUUAUCAAAGAUGCAGUACUUAUGACUUGAUUCUAAUCUAUUAAAAGGUCCUAUUCCCCAAGAAAUUUGUAAUCUAGCAAAUUUAACUUCAUUGUACCUCUCCCAAAACAAAUUGACUGGUUCAAUCCCUUCUUGUAUUGGUAGUUUAUCAAAGAUGCAGUACUCAAGCCUUACUUCUAAUCUAUUAAAAGGUCCUAUUCCCCAAGAAAUUUGUGAUCUAGCAAAUUUAACUUCGUUGUACCUCUCCCAAAAUAAAUUGACUGGUUCAAUCCCUUCUUGUAUUGGUAGUUUAUCAAAGUUGCAGUACUUAAGCCUUGCUUCUAAUCUAUUAAAAGGUUCUAUCCCAAAAGAAAUUGGCAAGCUUUUUGAUCUAUCAAAUCUAAACCUUAGCUUCAACCAACUCUCAGGUCCUAUCCCUAUCUUGUCUGCUACUCAUCUCUACAUUGUCGACGCUGGAAAUGGUUGUCAAAAGAUUUUUCCCGAUCCAUUUGAAGGCAAUAGUGAUUUAUCACCCUAUAUGUGUCCUACUCCAGUUACCAAAAAAGCCAACAGCAGCAGAAUUCCUUACCAUUUCAAAAUAUUCCUCCCUAUUGCGAUCUUAUUCACAAUCUCCAUUUUAGGAUGUUUGCUAUUUUCACGGUUUAAGCUCAAGAAUAACCAUGUCAACGUACAACCAACCAAGAAUGGGGAUUUGUGUUCCAUAUGGAACUAUGAUGGAAAGAUAGCAUACGAGGAUAUCGUUGCAGCAACAGAGGAUUUCGACUUCCGAUACUGUAUUGGAGUUGGUGGUUAUGGUAGUGUUUACAAAGCAGAACUCCCUUGUGGUAAAGUAGUUGCUUUGAAGAAACUUCAUCAUUUAGAAGCCGAAAAUCCAACUUUUGACAGGAGUUUCAGGAACGAGAUCAAGUUUCUAUCAGAAAUACGACAUCGAAACAUUGUGAAGCUUCACGGGUUUUGUCUACACCGACGAUCCAUGUUUUUGAUCUAUGAAUACAUGGAAAAAGGGAGUUUGUUCUGCAACCUAAGGGAUGAAGUGAAUGCUGUGGAAAUGGAUUGGACGAAAAGAGUAGAGAUCAUCAAAGGCAUAGCACAUGCUUUGUCUUACUUGCACCAUGAUUGCUGCCCUCCGAUAGUUCAUCGAGACAUAUCAAGUAACAAUGUUCUUUUAAACUCAAGUUUUGAGGCCUUUGUGGCCGACUUUGGAACAGCUAGAAUGUUGGAUCUUGAUUCAUCUUAUCGGACCAUUAUUGUCGGAACUUGUGGCUGCGUAGCUCCAGGUGGCGUUUUCUUUUUUUACUUGAUUUACUGACCUUUUCUCUGAACAUAUAAUUGAAUUUCUUCUUACUAAUUUGUGUAUGUAGAACUUGCUUAUACAAUGAUUGUCACCGAAAAAUGCGAUGUUUAUAGUUUUGGAGUGGUAGCACUGGAAAUAUUGAUGGGAAAGCAUCCUGAAGAAAUGUUAUCAUGGUUGUCAUCACCAACUUCUUUGGUAAACAUGAAGCUGAUUGAUGUGUUAGACAACCGUUUACCACUUCCAACAAGCCAACUAGUUACACAAAAUCUUGUUCAUGUUGCUACACUGGCUUUCGCUUGCUUAAAUCCACAACCGAAGUCCAGACCAACAAUGAAGGAAGUGUGUGAAGAGUUCCUUUCUCGCCAUACAUCCUUGGGAAUUCCUCUUCGGAUGAUCUCUUUGUUACAACUCAUGAACCGUGAAAUGCAUAUUGGAGGCAAAACUAAAACUUGUGGUGUUUGAAGUCCAUGCGCUUUUUGAUUAGAUACUGUUUAUCAUACUCUGAUAACUUGUUUGUAAACCAUCUCUGGUUUUAUAUAUGAUGGAAUGAAUUGCAAUGUUUAAUAAACCUGUUUAUUCGGUUGCUUUAGAAGACAUAAAUUCUGCAAUUUGAUCCAAAUAUUAAGACAUCAUCGCUGGCUGCUUCCUUGAAUUUUGUGCUUCUUUCAAACCAACUCAAAGAUAAAUAACAUAAAAGUAAAUUAAGGGUGAAUUUAUCAACCACUGCACAAGUAGUGUGUAUUUCUUUUGUUAUGCAUAUAAGCACAACUCCUCAUAUAUGAAUUAUCUACCAAAUACUCACGAAAGGCUUUUCAGAAAAUAGUAGUUAGUAAAGCCAUCCAGGAGGGAAUAUGCUACUAACGUGGAACGGGCAAAAUUACAUGGUAAAUAUGUCUUCAUGAGACUGCUGUAUUUCUUUAAGAACCAAAAGCACCAUAAGUGAAGGCAAAAUAGUUUAUUGUCUCAACUCUUUAUAUCCCCAUACCUCAUUGUGCAAUGAAUAAAGUACAUCAAGCAGGGAUUUGUCCCUGGCCAUAAAUAUAUCGCACUGGUCUUUGCUUUAUACAAAUUUCUUGAAACACAACUCUGAAAUUUUAAUAUUUGGAACCCCUAAGCUACCUGAAAUAACUGCAAGUUACCAUGACUAAAGUGCAUACAUACAUAUAUGAAAGUUUCUCAAGCAAUGAUAAGAUAAUUAAUUGCUAAAAAUCUUUAUUGAUUUUGUGGAGAGACAAUCAGACAAGUCAUGUCAGAUUAAUGAUGGGACAAAAAGGUUUUCUGGACUUUUAAAAGUUAUGAAUGCAUCUAUCAGGCUCAAGCAUUUCCAACAUCUAAUUUAUGGCUUACAUCUCAAAGCAAUGAAUGCAAAGCAUCAGGCUUAAAGAUCAUAAUAUGCACAAAAAAUGUAGUGGCCCUACAAGGUUUGCAUCAUGUCAUGCAUGCAUAGAUACAUUACAUUACUACAAGCAAAUUUACAGCUUUAUUGGUCUACAACACGGUAGCAUAAUUAGAAACUAUCAAACAUGUCGGAGCGUGCAUGUCUGAAUCUACAAAGGCAAAAAUAUACAGGUUUCUUCUCACUGCAGUAUAGUAUAAACAAACUUCUAUUGCCUGUAAAGGAUGGAAGAUGCUAACUCAAGCCUUACAACAGUGCAUACAUCACAAGAUGCAUGCGAGCCAAUGGUGCUUCAAGAGACAUGAAAAUUUACACAGUUAGAAUCUUCACGUUUACCCCGAAAAUUCAGACUUCAAACAAUAGAAAAUGGUAGACGAACUAGCUUUUAUAGUGUCAAACAUGCUGCAUUACAACAAAAUAUUCAGAUUGUUCUUCUCCGGUAAAACAAAAGGUUAACAUUUAGGGAUUAAAACAAACGGAAAAUGAAAAAAUAAUUGGAAACAGACUAUUAAACAAAAUAAUUUCCAAUAUAUAUAUGCUAAAUAAAAACCCAAAAUGGCAAUCGGUCUUGAAUCCCAAUCACUUAACAAUUCAAGAAACAAAUUCCAAUUCCAAAAAAUCCCAGUCUCUUAACAAAACAAAAACCAAAUAUACCAAAUACCCUUUCCCUUACACACAAAAGCUAAUUCAAGAGAUUACCAAAAAAAACACUAAUUCAAGAACCAAGCUUGAAAAACAACCAAAACCCCCAAUUAAAAUCUUGGUCAGCUUACCCUGAAAAAUCACAUAGAAAGAGAAAAAGAGAAACUCACAUGUGGCCAUGGAGAAAGCAACGAAUUUACAGAGUAACCAAAAUACAAUAACUUUGAAGAACAAAAAUAAUCAGGGAAAUAACAAAAGAGAAAAGCAAUAAGUUAAACCCCAUGAAGGAAAUUCCAACUGCUCAUUUACAGAGUAAUCAAAAUAAAAUAUAGUGAUAUAACUUGAUAGGAUUGGAAAGCUAGAUUUUGAAGUUUCUUCAAAAUGCAGACUUGGUAAGGACGACGAGAUAACAAGACUCGGAUUCGGAGAUGAGGCCAACGAAUAGAGAUGAGGAGGAGAGGCGGAGGCUGAUGGACAAAGAGGAAGGAGAACGACUGUUGUGAUGAGAGUGGAGGAAAAUGGAAAAUGUCUUACCGAAAUAAAAUUGGUAAGAAGUUUUCCAUAAAAGGCCGUUUCAUUUACCCUUGGUUUAGAAAAUGUUUUCUGAAGUAAUUUAUUUUUCAUCAAACAAAUACAGUAAAAUAAAAAAAAAUAUUUUACGGAAAAUAUUUUACUAAUAAAUAAACAGAGCCUAAGUAUUGCAUUGCAAAAGAUAUAAUAUCACCCAUAUCAACAAUAUAAACGGACAGACAUAUUAAAAUUUAAAUUUAAAUUCAUAAAAAUUUAUGUACUUAUAUUCAUGCAUUUAUUCAAACACAAGAAAGAUAUAUAAAUUUACAAGAACCAACACGAUGUCAAAUCAAUAUAAUUCCUUCCUUCAAUACAAACAUCGUGUGACAUCAACCAACAUAAAGAAGAUAACAAAAAGUAUGGCCUAGUUUCAGCACUCUUUUAAGGCAGUUACUAAAAGUUGUUUUCAACCAAGUUAAAAAGCAUAUCAAGAAAUCAAGUUAAGGAGGACUUCGAAUGAAAGUUGACAAGAAAUUUUGCAGAGAUGGAUGUACUAUCCACGAUCCGUUCUAACAAUUUGAUCUUUAGUCUUACCUUCUAUUAUAAGAAUGAGUAGCCUUUGUUUCUGGCAAUUUUUGAUUGGUUCCAAUACUCACUAAUAAGAAAGAUUUUUAUUUUCUGAAUACGUAUAUAACCUGAAUCCAUUCUAUAUCAACAACAACGAUAAUACACAUGAUGGAGUGAUAGAUUACAAGUUUCCAUACAAGAUUUCACACAUACAAUAAAAGAAAAAUAAGUGAAUUAAUUCCAUCUAAAAUGAAAUUAAAGAAAGCCAAAACUAAUGCAGUAGAACAGAUAAUUGAGAAUGUAGAAUUUUCUUAUAUUAGUUCCAUCUGUUUAAAAAAAAAAAGAUUGCAAGGUAAAUCAGUAGUAAGAAAGAAAAAUAUGGAAUACCCACAAAGGGAUUGCGAACAAACAAGCCGAUUUAGAUCAAAAAAAUCAGAUUGAGAAACCAAUUAUUCAAGAACCGUGAAAGAACUGGAAAAUAUAAUGGUUAGGAACAAAAACGAUUACCCUCUUUUUAUUUGUCAACAACCACUUGAUUUUAAGUCUUUGAACAUAAAUUUAUCGACAAAGAAGACAUACUUGGACCCUCCAUUGAAUCCAUCUUUUGUUUUUCUAUGUUGAAUAAAAAAUUCAAUCGAAACACACAAUCUGAUUUCUACUAUUUUGAUUCAAUACAGAUCAUAAUAGUUUUUUCAGUCAAAUGAAAAAGAAAACUAUUUUUCCUAUUUUAUGGAAAAUUAUCCUUUUUUGUAUAAUUAUAGGUGUUUCAUCUAUUUUAUGGUCCUUACAGUGCUGACACGACCGUUAACAACAUUAACGUGGCGCUUUAUGUCAGCAAUAGUUAGCUACAAUGUCAGCAAAAAUAAAAAAAAUAAAAAUUAAAAGGAAUAUUUAAAUUUAUUUUACUAGAAUGAACCUAAACAUAUAGUUGUCCAAGUUCAUUCGUUUCAAAACUUAAAUUUUUUUUAAAUUUAAAAAAAUUAAGUUUUUUAUAAAUGUGUACAACACUAUUAAAAUUUAAUAAAAAUAUUUAAAACUUAAGUCCCUAAUGAAUAUGUCCAAAUUCAUUCAAGAUUAGUUUCAAAUAUACUAAAAUUAAUUUUCUUUAAAAAUUGAUAUGUGUGUCAAUAUUUUUCUAUUGCUACCUCUUAGGAUGAAUAAUAUAUAUAUAUAUAUAUAUCAAUUUAAAGAAUUUAAAUUUUAUUAAUCAUACUUCUAAAGAUUUUUUAAAUGUAUGAAUAUAUCCAAUUAAAACAGUGUAUCUAUUAUUUCAUUACAUGUGUAGCCUAAAAGGUUUAAAAAAUUAGAUAUAUUCAUACAUUUAAAACAACUUUACACAAACAAUUAAUAAUAUUUAUUUUUAUUUAUUUUCUGAAAUAUAUUUUUUUUAAUUUUUAUACAUUCUAAAAUGUACCAAUGGAAUUAGAACAUUGAUACACGUAUCAAUUUUUUUAAAGAAGAUUAAUUUUUAAUAUUUUUUAAACUUUGUACAAUUUAGAAAAACUUGAAUGAAUUUAGACAUAGAAUUAACUUGUAAUUGGUUUUUAUUAAUUUUUAUUUUUUUAAUUUAUUUAAUAUUUUAUAAAUUUUAAUAAUAUUUUAAAAUUUUAUAAAAUUUUAAAAAACAUUAUUUUUUAAAUAUUAUUUUUAAUUUAAAAAUUUUUUAAGCUUCGAAACAAAUGAACUUGGUACUGCGACAUCAACAACUAUUCCUUUUAAAAAUUUUAAAUAUUCCAUUUAAUUUUUUUUAUUUUUGUUGACAUGGCAGUUGACGUGGUAUUGCCACAUAAGCAACUAUCGCUAACAUGAAGCACCACGUUAACGCUGUUAAUGGCCACGUCAACGUUGUAACGGUCAAUAUUAGUCAAAGGGCCUAUUUGGCCAAUUUUGUUAGUUCAUGGGCUCAAUUGGGUGCAAAAAGUUUGCAAGGGCUUAAUUGAUUUUUUUGAAAAAGUUUGAGGACCAAAAAUACCAUUAAACCCUUCUUUAACUAUUGAUAUUUCUUUUUCUAAGUAUCGGUCAACAUUAGUUAAAGGACUUAUUUUGUCAGUUUUGUUAGUUUAAGGGCUCAGUUGGGUGCAAAAAGUUUGCAGGGGCUUAAUUAUUUUUUCGAAAAAGUUCGACAAUCAAAAAUACCUUUAAGCCCUAGUUUAACUAUUGAUAUGUCUUUUUUAAUUAAUUUUGCAUUCGUGCAUAGUAUAGGCACACGAUGUAUGGGGUAUUUCCACGUAUACAUGUAAAGUGUAUUUUGAUGCCACGGCGAAAUUAGAUGAAAAUGUGAUUAUUAAGGUAGUAAUGUAACCUUCUAGUGUCACGGGCCUCAGUGCAAAGCCCGUGACCAUGGCACAAGAUGCGCCCCAUGGAGGUCUAUCAAUAAGAUGAGGAACAUUUAGCCCACAAGAGCUGGCCCGAUUCAGAUAACUAUUGGAGAAGCCUAUCAGAUUGAAGCCUGGUUGGCCCAAUGAUGAAAACAUGGCAACUUAGGCUAAUAUGGUAACUAAUCUUAGAAGAUAGAGAUAAUCAUAUCUUGUAAAGAUUAGAUUUGAUUUGAUAUAGCAUAUCUUGUAAAAUCCCUAAAAUUAAGGGAUAUGGUUAAUCUUGUCCGUCGAUGUAAAUGUAUCUUGACAGUCGAUUUUGGGGGAGCUCAACUAUAAAUAGAGAGCCUCCCCCUCAUUUGUACUCAUUCCAUUGUAUUCUGAAUUCUUAAGAGUAAUAGAGUUCUGAGAGCAUUUACUCAAACACCUUGUGUGCAUUCUUUUUUUUGGCUUUCUAUUGUUCUUUGACUUAGCUUCUUUUGGCCUAAAUCGUUUCCGCUCUUCAAUUGGUGCCUUGGAGGAGUUCUUAAGGAAUCCUCAUUUGAGUUAAGGCUGACUUAGGCGAGUUUGGACGAACGGAUCACCUAAGGCCACACGGGUUGCGAGACGAAAACUCUAGCCCCGUGACAAGUGGUAUUAGAGCAAGGUUUGAACCAAGUAAUAUCUGAGUUGUUGGUUCAAAGGCACUGUUGGGAUGUCGAAAGAAGUUGUUGGUCAGAAUGAGCCAAUGGAGACCCGAGGAAGGGCCAGAAAUGUGAGUCGAUCAAGGGACUUAUUGUCAGCUUUAGAGGAUCGAGUUGUCACUCUCGAAGAGUCCAUGGGGGACGUCAAGGAAAGGAUCGACGAUGUCGAUGAUAGACACAAUGAUGGGUUACGAACAUUACAGGAACAACUCAGGGAAUUUGUGUGGGACACUAUCGGUUCCUCUGAGAAUAAGCUGGCUGAAAAGAACGAUGCUCUCGAGGCUAUGGUGACAGCCUUGAAGGAGGAGAUCAAUGAGCUUAAGAGGGAGCUCAAGAUUUUCAAGGCUGCCAUAGGGAAUGGAAUGUUGGUUUUAAAUCUGAAGCCACAAGCAAUGGAUAUGCCCAAGCCGAAGGCGUUUAAAGGGGCAAGGUCUGCAAGUGAAGUGGACAACUUUUGUUGGGCCAUGGAGCAAUACUUUUGUGCGAUGAACAUCGAAGAUGAUGUCACAAAGGUAAACACUGUUGCUAUGUAUUUCACUGAUGUUGCUUUGUUAUGGUGGCGACGUAGGUCCACUGAUGUGAGACGUAGUGGGACCGAGAUUGGGACUUGGAAGGAGUUCCAAAGUGAAUUUAAAGUACAGUUUUACCCCGAGUAUGCCGAGGACGAAGCUCGAGCAAAGUUGCGACGGCUAAUGCAACGAGGCACGGUUAAGGAGUAUGUACAGGAGUUCAGUAAACUCAUGCUCCAAAUCUCUGAUUUGAGCGAGAAGGAAGCAUUUUUCUCCUUUACAGAUGGGCUGAAACCAUGGGCGAAGCAAGAAUUGCACCGUCGAGGAAUUUAGGAACUUACCAAUGCCAUAAUGGUAGCGGAGUCCAUAGUGGAACUUGCUCCGAGAAGGGACAGGUUUGAAUCUUCCAAGCCCAGCAGGAGGGGCAAUGGUGGGUAUCAUGAGGAGGAUGAAGAGGGACAAAGCUAUGAUGGCAACGCAAGUAGUAGCGAUGGUGAUGAUAGGAAACCACAAGUUGGGAAGAAGAAACCCAAGAGGAAAAGAGACAAGCUGAAAUGCUUUCUCUGCGACGGUCCACACAUGUUGAAGAAUGUCCAAAAAAAUCCGCGCUUAAGGAGAAGCCGGUGGGAAAGGCCUUGGUACUUGGUUCAAGUGCAAGGGGUGUCGAAGCCAAGGAGGCCGAAAGCGAGAAAAAGCCAGUGGAGUUCUUCUUGCGUCAUGGUCUGUAUAGGUUGCGGAAGUGUCCAAGGAAGUCUAUCAUCGAUGGGAAUGAUGGAGUAGACAAAGAGCCCAAGAAGCUUGGUUCGAGCAAGGGAAAAGCCGAAGCCAAGAGGGCAAAGAGGAGCAAAAAGAAGCGAGUAAAGUGCUUCUUGUGCCGUGGUUCGCAUGAGAUACAGAACUAUCCAAAGCAAGCCAGAGUAAAAAGAAAGGCAACGUCUGAACUUGGUGAGUCAUCAGAGGGACUUCCACUUAAGGAAGAGGUGAGUUUGUCAUCGGACUUAGAGGAAAGAGUUACGAUGAAAACAGUGAAGUUGGGACCAAUGAGGCUCAAGUUGAGUAAAGCGUCGGAGUUGGCCGAGUCAUCGACUAGGCUUCCACCUAUGGGAGAGGUGGGUGGUGCAUCAGACUUCAAGGGAAAAGAAGUGAUGCAUGUGGGACAGUUGACCAGAGUAAAUACGAAGGUACAUUUCGAACACUGUGAUAGUGUUUUGCAUUCUAACUUGUUGACUUGGCAAGAACGUAGGGGCCCUUUCGAAGUUCUUGAGCAGAGAGGCCGAGAGACUGUGGGUAAAGCGAAGCCAAGUGUGGUGAAUCAAGAGGAUUCUGUUCGAGCAAAGUUAGAAUGUGGACAAGAGAGUGACAUAACUUCUUGUCAUCGAGAUGCACAAACGAGUAGGACGGUUCGAGUGAAGAAGUGACGUAAGCCGAAGCAAAAGUCCCGAAAGAAGGAAAAGGCUAAGGCGUUGAGACGAGAUCGAGGCGAAUCAAGCCAGUGCCAUUCGGAAGUCGCAACAAGGACGUUGCGAGAAUGGGUGGGGGAGAAUGUCACGGGCCGCAGUGCAAAGCCCGUGACCAUGGCACAAGAUGCACCCUAUGGAGGUCUAUCGAUAAGAUGAGGAACAUUUAGCCCACGAGAGCUGGCCCGAUUCAGAGAACUAUUGGAGAAGCCUAUCAGAUUGAAGCCUGGUUGGCCCAAUGAUGAAAACAUGGCAACUUAGGCUAAUAUGGUAACUAAUCUUAGAAGAUAGAGAGAAUCAUAUCUUGUAAAGAUUAGAUUAGAUUUGAUAUAGCAUAUCUUGUAAAAUCCCUAAAAUUAAGGGAUAUGGUUAAUCUCGUCCGUCGAUGUAAAUGAAUCUUGACCGUCGGUUUUGGGGGAGCUCAACUAUAAAUAGAGAGCCUCCCCCUCAUUUGUACUCAUUCCAUUGUAUUCUGAAUUCUUAAGAGUAAUAGAGUUCUGAGAGCAUUUACUCAAACACCUUGUGUGCAUUCUUUUCUGUGGCUUUCUGUUGUUCUUUGGCGUAGCUUCUUUUGGCCUAAAUCGUUUCUGCUCUUCAAUUGGUGCCUUGGAGGAGUUCUUAAGGAAUCCUCAUUUGAGUUAAGGCUGACUUAGGCGAGUUUGGACGAACGGAUCACCUAAGGCCGCACGGGUUGCGAAACAAAAACUCUAGCCCCGUAACACUAGUAAACGUAAAGAAUUAUAAUUUUUCUAGAUGCAUUUGGCUAGUAGAGUAUAAUUAUAUUGUAAUUCUUUGUGCCUUGUUUAGUAAUAUAAAUUGUAAUUGCACAUUUACAAAUUUUAAAUUGUUUAAAAAGUAUUAAUUACUAUAAAUAGUUAUCAGUAAUACCUGAGAAAAAAUUUUAAACAAGUGACAUAAAUUAAAAUCAAAUCAUGUUCUGUUAGUCCAAGAAAGUAACCGACAACACGAUUGCCGAUAAAAAAGAACAAGAAAACUAAACAUCAUAUGCAACUUUAUUAUUGCUCUAGCAUUCCAUGUUUGUUGGGUUAUUCCUUUUCUAACAUUUAACAUAUACUUCUUAUCAUCAUCUAUUAGUUCUUGACCAAUUUCUUCAUUGUUGAUACAAGGUACAACAAUGGAGGGGAGUAAGGAGGAUGUAAGGUGGAGUGAGUGGUGGAAAAGUAUUAAUAAGAGAGGUUCUCUUGUCCAUUAGCAUGACAUGGCAGGAUAAAUGUUCAGUCCCACCAAAUGUGUAAAGGAUAUUCAUGAACAUAAAGGAUAUUCAUGAUGGGGGCACGUUAUGUUACUCAUUCGAUCAGUACAAGGUUAAUACGCCCAUGCAAGUCCUAAUGGCCUCAAGGAUUUGUUCACACCAAAAAAAAAAGGGUGCUAGCCUUUCUAAAGGGUUGGUGCUCCUUUGAUCUUAGUGGAUGGUUCAGCGAGACAUCUUCUUAGGCAGACUCAAUGAGAGGGUUAAUGUUGUCUAUACAGUUGACACGUGUCCAUGUGGCGGGGGUAUAAAAUUCAUCAUCUAAAUCAAAUUUUGAAUAUGCAUAAUUAAGAUUAUCCAGAUCAUUUUUUUUAUCUGUAUCAUUAAGACUAUCAAGAUCUAUUUUUUUUCCAUGUAUUGAUUGAAAGCAUUGAUAAUUCCAAUUCCACCUAUAAAUGGAAUUGUGAAGUAUACAACAAGUUCGAACGAUUGAACAUUGUUUUUUAGACUAUAUUGAUGUGGUUUGUUAAUAUGGGAAAUAUUUUUUUAGAACAAGAAAUAUCCUCUCAACCACAUUUCAAAGCUUUGAAUAAAGAGUUUGCGAGCCUUGUUUGGUACUUGUGUCUAGCUGUGUUCGUUCAAAUGAUAUCGUACCCCAUAAUAUACUGCAAGAAAACCUUUUGCAAUUGCAUAAUCAACAUCUACCACAUAAUAUUUCCUAAAAACAUGUAACAAUUUAAAUAAUUUGUGAGACAAAUAAAAUAACAGCAAGGUGAUGAUAAUAUUAAUGUAUUUAUGAAAUACAAUUUUGAUCUAUUUUCUCUCCCAAACAUCAUUCUUAGCAUUCUAGUAUUUGAGGCACAAAUCAACUUUAAAAUCCUUCAAUUAUAAUAGUUUUUAUAAAUCCAAUUUGCGGUUUACUAUGUGUUCAAAUAAUAAACCAAAUUAGAUAAAAUAAAUAAUAUAAAUUUUCUAAUAUAACAUUUAUAAACAAUGUUUUCUAUAAAGUGUUGAAUAGCUUUUAUGGUGCUUAUGUUAAAGUGCUCAAAUAUGUGGCCAUACAAGAAUAGUAUAAAAAUUAUAAUACAUGCUUUAUAAGCACAAUUUGUUAGGUUAAAAUUUGUUUUAUAAAACAUAGGAGUUAAGUGAGAUGAAAAGGGUUUCUCCUACCUCAAUCAGUAAUUGAGGGUUUGAUACUGUAUUGGAGUUGGUGGUUAUGGUAGUGUUUACAAAGCAAAACUCCCUUGUGGUAAAGUAGUUGCUUUGAAGAAACUUCAUCAUUUAGAAGCCGAAAAUCCAACUUUUGACAAGAGUUUCAGGAACGAGAUCAAGUUUCUAUCAGAAAUACGACAUCGAAACAUAGUGAAGCUUCACGGGUUUUGUCUACACCGACGAUCCAUGUUUUUGAUCUAUGAAUACAUGGAAAAAGGGAGUUUGUUCUGCAACCUAAGGGAUGAAGUGAACGCUGUGGACAUGGAUUGGACGAAAAGAGUAGAGAUCAUCAAAGGCAUAGCACAUGCUUUGUCUUACUUGCACCAUGAUUGCUGCCCUCCGAUAGUUCAUCGAGACAUAUCAAGUAACAAUGUUCUUUUAAACUCAAGUUUUGAGGCCUUUGUGGCCGACUUUGGAACAGCUAGAAUGUUGGAUCUUGAUUCAUCCAAUAAGACCAUUAUUGUCGGAACUUAUGGCUACGUAGCUCCAGGUGGCGUUUUCUUUUUUACUUGAUUUACUGACCUUUUCUCUGAACAUAUAGUUGAAUUUCUUCUUACUAAUUUGUGUAUGUAGAACUUGCUUAUACAAUGAUUGUCACCGAAAAAUGCGAUGUUUAUAGUUUUGGAGUGGUAGCACUGGAAACGUUAAUGGGAAAGCAUCCUGAAGAAGUGUUAUCAUGGUUGUCAUCACCAAGUUCCUUGGUAAACAUGAAGCUGGUUGAUGUGUUAGACAACCGUUUACCACUUCCAACAAGCCAACUAGUUACACAAAAUCUUGUUUAUGUUGCUACACUGGCAUUCGCUUGCUUAAAUCCACAACCGAAGCCCCGACCAACAAUGAAAGAAGUGUGUGAAGAGUUCCUUUCUCGCCAUACAUCCUUGGGAAUUCCUCUUCGGAUGAUCUCUUUGUUACAACUCAUGAACCGUGAAAUGCAUAUUGGAGGCAAAACUAAAACUUGUGAUGUUUAAAGUCCAUGAGCUUGUUGAUUAGAUAUUGUUUAUCAUGCUCUGAUAAUUUGUUUGUAAACCAUCUCUGGUUUUAUAUAUGAUGGAAUGAAUUGCAAUGUUUAAUAAACCUGUUUAUUCGGUUGCUUUAGAAGACAUAAAUUCUGCAAUUUGAUCCAAAUAUUAAGACAUCAUCGCUGGCUGCUUCCUUGAAUUUUGUGCUUCUUUCAAACCAACUCAAAGAUAAAUAACAUAAAAGUAAAUUAAGGGUGAAUCAAAGCAACAAAAUGCAAUCAAUACAUACAUCAAGAAUUCACCUCAACUAUCUAUAAUUCAUGAAACAAUCUCUCAACUUAUAAAAUGUAAGUGAGAUUCCACAGACCUGAUAUCCAAACUCAAAAGCAAUAAAAGGCGUCAUCAGAACCCUGGCAAGUGAAGACGACAUUCUUUUCAAGCAAGGUAGCGAUACAACUUCCUGUCACCUUUAUCCCUCUACAGGAACUCACAUUAGUAUACAUUUUUAUUUAACAUAUUAUAUAAAUUACACUUUAUAAAUCAAAAAAACAAAUGAAACUCUGAGUAUUACAUAUAUAAUAAUAUACUGCAUAUUUCCUAAAAAAUGAUAAUAUACCGCACAUGUUACAAUGCAUUUUCAAAAAAAAGAAAAAGAAAUGUGACCAUAAUAUAUAAUUUAUAUUACAAACAAAGGUACUCAUAUUUUAUAGUUCAUCAUUUUUAAUGUUUGGGACUGUAGUCGGCCAUCACGAUUUGGUUGGUAACAAAUGAAUAUAUUAUGGAUAAACUAUUAUAGAGUUUACAAAAUUACUGCUUUUUAGUCACUCGAUUAUAAAAAGUUAUAAAAUAGCCAUUUAAUUAUUAUUAAAUUACAUUUUUGAUUAAAUGCAAAAAGUACAUAUCUUAUGUAAUUUAAUUGGUCAAAUUAUGAGAAUGAACCAUUGAUUUUCUCCAUGUUUAUAUUAAAUUUUAUACAGGGGUGCAAUUUGGGGUCAAAAGAGAAAAAGGAGAAGCAAUUGGGCUAGAUUGAAGAAAGGAGCAAAGAAGGCGAGCCAAAACAGAAUUUUUCCAAGUUGUAAUUAGCUGAAAUUUUAUUUUGACUUAGUGGGGGAUUAUGUAGAGAUUUUGAUAUCGUAGGAAUAUGUUUUUUUCCUUGAUUUUCUAUGGCUAGUGGCCUUUAAUUUGGCAAAUUUGUUCAAAGCCACUAGUAUAAAUAGAGGGCUACUAUGUUCAUUUAAUCAUCAAGUUUUUCAAUCAAGUUUUUAAUCAAGCUUUUAUCUUUUGAAUUCAAUCUUCUUUCCUUUUUGCAAAUUUAUUUGCUGACAUUAAUUCCUUAUAUUUUUCCAUUUAUUAGUUUCCAGCUUUGGAACUACUGCACCCAAACCUUGCCUCACCCACAUACAUCCACUUACAUUUCUUUUUCAUUUAUCCAACCCUCUCCAAAUAUGCCCAACUCCAACAUGCCCCAAACCUAGUCAACUAAACCCAUUUCAGCUUUAGGUCGGUGUUAACUUCGUCUAGACCGGUGAGUUAUGAACCCGAGCAAUUUAAAUCCUGAAUUCUAGUAUUUAUUAUUUCUCUGGAUUAAGAGUAUGAUUUCAUCAACUCACAAAGUCAAAUCAACACUAAGUCAAAAAAGACGUCGUUUGAGUUAGUGUGGUUAGACGUACAAUUGGGAUUCCGAAAGGAUCGAUUGUCUAAUCAGUUUUCCGUGAACACAUUGGCGUGCCAAGUGGGGAUUCUUGUUUGGUUCCGUCAAGGGAAGUAGUAAUCGGAUUUAAAUGUCCCACGCGAUUGAGGGCAUUGGUUCGUGCUAAGCUCUUCUAGAACGCAAAGAUGUAGGAGUUCUAAAUCACGAACGUUUUGUAGGUUGUUUGAUCGGCAAUGGUUAGUUAUAGGACAUUUCAUAACUAAUUUACACAAGGAAGAGUUGGUGUCCGAGGUGUCUUUGGUAGCUAUAACUAGCUUAUUGGAAAAGAGAAGUUCAUCUAAUUUCGAGGAUCGGUUCAAAGACGGAAAAACUCAUGCCUGAAGCUGAGCUAAAUUUAAUUGAUUUUUCUUCAAAUUUACUUAACUGUUUUUAUUAUUUAAUUGUUUCCAGCUUUUACUUUUUACGCAUUUUUUCCCCUGUUUAUUUCAGGUUUCAAAUUUUAUCCCCCCAAAUUUCUUGGGCAUGACAACUUCCCAAACAUAAAUAUGGUCGAGAGAGAGAAACAAUUUUCAGUAAUCUAGUCUCUAAGGGAUUGAUCCUACUCCCUAUAUUGCUCAAAUUUGCAAAUUAGGUGUAGGAUUUUAUUGGUGGAAUCAACAACCAUCAGUUUUGGCGCCGUUCCCGGGGACUGGCAACACUCACAAUUGUUUAAAUCGUCUUCAUGACUAAAUCUUCAUCCAGAGAUCUCGAAUACGACCCAGAGAUUUGAGAAAUCAAAAUGAGCACGACGAAAAAAGACAGAAGCUCUUAAACAUGCAAGUAAAGAAAAAGUUGAGCUAGGACAAGGGAUCUUAGAAUCCGACGUCGAAAAGUUGAGCUAAGAAAUUCGGGCAGAGGCAAUUCAACGUGGGAAACAAGUCAAAGUGGUUGAACCUGAGACCGAACCACUUUUUGAAAAAAAGAAGCAGAAGACAACCUCGGUGAACCAGAAAGGAUGGAAAACCGAACCAUUCGUCAACUAGCCACAUAAGCAACUAUUCCUUUUAAAAAAUUUAAAUAUUCCUUUUAACUUUUUAUUUUUGUUGACAUGGCAGCUGACAUGGUAUUUCCACAUAAGCAACUAUCGCUAACAUGAAGCACCACGUUAGCGCCGUUAAUGGCCACGUCAAUGUUGUAACGGUCAAUAUUAGUCAAAGGGCCUAUUUGGCCAAUUUUGUUAGUUCAGGGGCUCAAUUGGGUGCAAAAAGUUCGUAGGGGCUUAAUUGAUUUUUUUUGAAAAAGUUCGAGGACCAAAAAUACCAUUAAACCCUUCUUUAACUAUUGAUAUUUCUUUUUCUAAGAAUCAGUCAACAUUAGUUAAAAGGCCUAUUUUGUCAGUUUUGUUAGAUUAAGGGCUCAGUUGGGUGCAAAAAGUCUGCAAGGGCUUAAUUGAUUUUUUUGAAAAAGUUCAACGAUCAAAAAUACCUUUAAGCCCUACUUUAACUAUUGAUAUGUCUUUUUUAAUUAAUUUUACAUUAGUGCAUAGUACAGGCACACUAUGUACGAGGUGUUUCCACAUAUACAUGUGAAGUGUAUUUUGAUACCACGGAGGAAUUAGAUGAAAAUGUGACUAUUAAGGUAGUAGUGUCACCUUCUAGUAAUUGCAAAGAAUUAUAAUUUUUUAGAUGCAUUUGGCUAGUAGAGUGUAAUUAUAUUGUAAUUCUUUGUGCCUUGUUUAGUAAUAUAAAUUGUAAUUACACAUUUACAAAUUUUAAAUUUUUUAAAAAGUAUUAAUUACUAUAAAUAGUUAUCAAUAAUACUUGAGAAAAAAUUUUAAAUAGGUGACAUAAAUUAAAAUCAAAUCAUGUUAUGUUAGUCCAAAAAAGUAACCGACAACACGAUUAUAUGCAACUUUAUUAUUGCUCUAGCAUUCCAUGUUUGUUGGGUUAUUCUUUUUCUAACAUUUAACAUAUACUUCUUAUCAUCAUCUAUUUGUUCUUGACCAAUUUCUUCAUUGUUGAUACAAGGUACAACAAUGGAGGGGAGUAAGGAGGAGAUAAGGUGGAGUGAGUGGUGGUUUUGUGGAGGCCAGUUCACUUAAAGAGGCAGAGAGCUAGAAAGGAAUAAGAGGACAAGCUGAUUGCUGAAAGAAAAGAUGGUUGUUCAGAGUAACUUUAAGGGUUGGAAAAUCGAUCCAUUCUUCAUCGUUGGAAAGGUAUUUAUAAAAGAGGCCCUCUUGUCCAUUAGCAUGAUGUGGCAAGAUAAAUGCUCAGCCCCACCAAAUGUGUAUAUUCACGAACAUGAAGGAUAUUCAUGAUGGGCCCUAUUCUAUUAUCCAUUCGAUCAGUACAAUGUUGUUACGCUCAUGCAAGUCCUAAUGGCCUCAAGGAUGUGUUCACACCAAAAAAAGGGGUGCCUAACCUUUCUAAAGGGUUGGUGCUCCUUUGAUCUUAGUGGAUGGUCCGGCGAGACAUCUUCUCAGGCAGACUCAAUGAGUGGGUUAAUGUUGUCUAUACUGUUGACACGUGUCCAUGUGGCGGGGGUAUAACAUUCAUCAUCUAAAUCAAAAUCUGAAUAUGCAUCAUUAAGAUUAUCUAGAUCAUUUUUUUAUCUGUAUCAUUAAGAUUAUCAAUAUCUGCUUUUUUUUUCAUGUACUGUUUAAAAGUAUUGAUAAUUCCAAUUCCACCUAUAAAUGGAAUUGUGAAAUAUACAACAAGUUAGAACGAUUGAACAUUGUUUUUCAGACUAUAUUGAUGUGGUUUGUUAAUAUGGGAAAUAUUUUUUUAGAACAACAAAUAUCCUCUCAACCACAUUUCAAAACUUUGAAUAAAGAGUUUACGAGCCGUGUUUGGUACUUGUGUCUAGCUCUGUUCUUUCAAAUGAUAUUGUACCCCGUGAUAUACUGUAAAAAAACCUUUUGCAUUUGCAUAAUCAACAUCUACCGCAUAAUAUUUCCUAAAAAACAUGUAACAAUUUAAAUAAUUUGUGAGAAAAAUAAAAUAACAGCAAGGUGAUGAUAAUAUUAAUGUAUUUAUGAAAUACAAUUUUGAUCUAUUUUCUCUCCCAAACAUCAUUCUUAGCAUUCUAGUAUUUGAGGCACAAAUCAACUUUAUAAUCCUUCAAUUAUAAUAGUUUUUAUAAAUCCAAUUUGCAGUUUACUAUGUGUUCAAAUAAUAAACCAAAUUAGAUAAAAGAAAUAAUAUAAAUUUUAUAAUAUAAUUGUUAUACCUAAUUUUAGCUCGGGCUCACAUAUGGAAACAUAUUUUUUGAGGAUAUGCAAUCUUAUAUAUGAUAUGCAAUCCUAGAUAUGAUAUAUGCAAUCUUAGAUAUGAUAUGCAAUCUUAGAUAUGAUGUAUAAUCUUAGAUAUGAUAUGCAAUCUUAGAAGAUAUGAUUUUGAAAUCUUAGAGAUACCCUUUAAUCUCAGCCGUUGAUGUAAUUGAUCUGUACCGUUGGAUUUGGGGAGGCUCAACUAUAAAUAGAGGCCUCUCCCUUCAUUGCAUGAGGAGAAAAAAAGAGGAAAGGGAGGAAUAAAAAAAGAGAACGAUUGACAGUUUUUUAAAGGUGGCUUACUAUUUUUUUCGUUUGAUUAUUUUGUACUUAUUUACAAUUUUAAAAAAGGAGAAGGUGAUACCACUACGAAUUUUAUUUAUUUAUUUUUUAUUUAGCCCCUCCGCCUUUUAAUGUCUUUAUAAUUAGGUUUUUUUUAUUUUUUUAAAAAUUUUGCCCUUUAAUUUAUUUUAAUUUCAAUUUAACCCUUCUUGAACGACACCGUUUUAGAGGAGAAGGGAAAAUUUCCCUUCCAGCCCCUUUAUGUAAUUCGCGUAUUCAAUUUAGUCCUCCAGACUUUAUUUAUUUGCGAAAUUACCCCAUAUUUUUUAUUUGUAAUCCAAUUUAGCCUUUUUUUCAUAUUUUCUUCAAAAAUCAAUAUUUUUUUGAUGAUGCAAUUGUUCUUAUCUUAUAAUUCUUAUCUGUAAUUAUUAUUAUAUUGUAUAUAUGUUUUUUAAAAAAACAUGUAGUUAUGCCUUUUUUUAAUUAGUAUUUUUUUCGCGUACUUAUAUAUAUAUAUAUACUUGUUUUAUUUAUUUAAUUAUCUUUGAUAUUAUUUAUUUCAAACCUAUGUAUUUUUAUGUGCACUUGUAUGUAUUUUUUGUUAUUUAUUUUAAUUAUUCGCUUAUUAAUUUAUGUUUGCAUAUUUUCUGCUCAUUUAUUUAAUAUCUUUUGCAUGUCAUUAUUUAUAUUCAAUUGUUUGUAUUAUUUCCAUGCUAUUAUUGUACUUGUUAUCAUUGUUAUUAUGACAUUUGCGCAUAUAAAAUAAUGUUACAUUAUUUUUUAGAAAAAACUCAAAUUUAAAAAUAUAAUUUUCAAAAUUGAGAUAAUACUCGUAUUUAGGAUUGCUCAAGGAAAUUGAGCCCUAACGUAUUGGGUUCCGAUUUUUUUGAAAAUCUAACAAUCGAGGAUUGCUCUUUAAACCAACUAAAAACUCAUUAUUGGGAAUUCAACACGUUGUGUCCUAACGUAUUGGAUGUGACGCAUUGAUUUCUCGAUGUAGAUUUUUUAAAAAUCAUAAAGGAAAUAUUCCGAGUUUGGGAUUUUUAAAGGAAUCGUGCCCUAACAUAUUGGGUGUGAUUUCUUAAAUCUUGGAUAAGUGGAUGUUCUUUUAAAGUAAAGGAAAUAUUCCGAGUUUGGGAUUCUAAAGGGAUCGUACCCUAACGUAUUGGGUGUGAUUUCUUAAAUCUUGGAUAAGUGGAUGUUCUUUUCAAGUUUUAUUGUACAAGUAUUUUGGCCCAAUUCAUUUUUGGGGGAAAAUUAGAAUGCUGUGCCCUAACGCAUUAGGUGUGGUAUCUUCUUUCUCUGAAAUAAAAAGGGUCUUAAUACGUAGCCUUUUAAGUUUUGCUAAGGAUUACGUUUUUCCAAAUUCUCGACCUUAAGAUACUAAUUAAUUAACCAGGUACAAAUUUUGGGCGUUACGAGGGUGUUAAUCCUUCCUCGAACGUAACUGACACCCGGAUCCGUUUUUCUAAAACUUGUAGACCAAAGCCGUUUUUUAGGUGAUCCAAUCACACCUCAAUAAAAGAUUGGUGGCGACUCCCAAAUUUUCAUUUUUUUUAAAGUCGACAACCUAAAAUUUUUGUUUUUCAAAAAAAUAGUUUCGACAAUAACAUUUAUAAACAAUGUUUUCUAUAAAGUGUUGAAUAGCUUUUACGGUGCUUAUGUUAAAGUGCUCAAAUAUGUGGCCAUACAAGAAUAGUAUAAAAAUUAUAAUACAUGCUUUAUAAGCGCAAUUGGUUAGGUUAAAAUUUGCUUUAUAAAACACAGGAGUUGAGUGAGAUGAAAAGGGUUUCCUACCUUAAUCAGUAAUCGAGGGUUUAAUCCUCGCCUAAGUAUGGAGUAGCUUUAAAACUUGUGGCCAGCAUCUACCCCCUUAAUGGGCCUACAAAAUGCGAAGGAUUAGUUACCGGGCGCGCUUCGGUAGAUACAUUGAGGAAUCAAAAAAAAAAAUUACACCAAAUAUUUUGACUUAUGUGUCUAAUAACAAAGCAGUUUUGACCCGAUAAGAAAUAUAUAAUUUUAUUUUAAAAAAUAUAUAAAAUAUAUGUCAUAAAAUUAAAAUUUUUUAUUAUUAUUGUAUUAAAAUAAAUUUUAUAAACUUCUAUAAAAAAUAAUUUCUUAAAUCAUGUACGUGUGUUUGAAAGACUAUAAGAUAAUUAGUAAUUGAUUGUAAUUACUCACGUAAUUACCUCAACUCUCAACUCCCUAAGAAUUGAAUAGUAUAAUUGAGGUGCUAUUAUAUUCAAUUUAGUGGACCCAACAAUUACAAUAGUUAGCCAAACAUACUAUUCCUUUGUACUUGCAAGUAAUUACACUUAAAUCUAAUAAUUAAUUCACAUUAAAUUUUUCAAAAUCAUACACUUUGGGGUCGAAAUUAAACUGAUUUUUUUUUAGUUUCCAAACAAUUGCAAAGAAAAUUCAUGAAAUUAAGUUGUUUUCAAAUAAUUAAUUCACAUUGGAAUUUUCAAAUAAGAUAUCACAUUACUAAUACUUCAAUCAUUAAAAUAUUAUAUAAGACAUUUUGCCUUAUACAGCAAAAUAUGAAAAUACUAAAACUUAAUCCAGUUUAAUCAUUCUAAAGUUUCUAAUUUUGUUUAAAAGUAUUUUCAAAUAUAUAUGAUUUUAAAUUUGUAUAUUUUAACAUGAAAUUCAUUAUAUUGUAGUAAGAUUUUAAUGUAAUAUGUUUAAUUUUUUUAAUUUAAUUCAAACAAUUUCACUCGAUUCAGCUCGACUCGAAUUUUAUUUCACUCAACUCAAUUUGAAAAAAAAAUUCUAAAUUGAAUUAAGAUGAUAAAAUAAGACUUGUCAACUCGAUUAACUCAAAAUUAUUUUACUCAAUCACCGCUAGCAAUUGCAUCCUUGAUACUAAUAACAACAUAAAAAUGUAUACUCAUCUUUUCAAAUUAAUAUGCAGCCACGAAAUGGAAAUUUCCAUGAAAAAAAAACUAUUGCAUAUGAAAAAGUAAGUUCCAUGACAUCGACUGAAGCAAUAACAACAAUUGCAAAAAGACAUUGACUCCUAUAGAAAUCCAUCAGUUUGGAAACUAUAACGUAUAUGCUACAACUGGGUUUUUUUCGUGUGUCACCCGUUAGGAUUUGAAUUAUGUUGGUAAUAAAUAUAAUCUAUUUUAAUUAAAAAAUGAGUAGAAUUUAGUAAUUUAUUAUGACCCAAAUUAUUGGUAAAGUUAAAAUUAAUUUUUUUUCGAACAAAAACUUUCGGUGCUCAGUACUUAUGUGUAAUUCAAUCUUCUCAUCAUAUAUUCCGAAUAAGCUAAAAGGUAUGGCAUGGUGUCUACCUUUGCUCAUCCAUGUCAGACUUGCAACUCCUUGUAUUCACCUUGAUUGUCGGCCUUCACUAAGGACUUAUAGUUAUACAAGUCAAGAGCAAAAAGAUAUGUCCCCUAAUAUCACUUUGGGUGAUGAGUCCUUUCUGAACCAUUCCAUCACCUUCAUAUGUCAUACCAUACCUAAAACAUUCUACUUUCAACAUCUAUCAAUGCGAAUCCAUUUGGUGAUGAAUCAAAGUAUGACGGUCAACAUACAAGUUUGUGUCUUAAGUCUAAGGAUCAUUUACACUACCAAUACAUGGGAGUAUUUCUAUAAACAUUUGAGUGAAAUACCAAAUGGAACUCUCAUAAUAGGCCAAGUUAUAUUUUAUAAUUUUUUCGAACUUUUUAAAAUCAUUAAUAUUUUAUUUUUUAUAUUUGUAAUACAAUAAUUUUAUAAUUUUUUUAUAACUUUUACAUUUUAAAAAUAUUUUAAUAACUUGAACAUCAAUAUAUACUUCCACACGGCAUGUCACAUGUCAACUUGCCAUAGCUUCCGUCAACUAAUCAACAACCAAUAUUGAUAAAAUCAGUCAACAACAAUUUUCGUUAUUGAAAAGAGCCAAUUGAUUUUUUUCCAUUGAAUCCUCAAUUGGGUCUGUUUUUCUAUUAUGAGCUUAAUUAAUUUUUAACUUUUUAUUAAGUUGUUUUUCCUUUAACCUUAUAUUAAUAUUCAUUACUUUAUUAAAAAAAACUUACUUUUAGGUAAUUUUUCCAACCAAAAUGAUAUCAAAUUAACUCGUAACAUAAAUUCAAUAAAAUAUAUUAUAUAAACAUAUACAUAAAUUCAUUAAAACCUGUCAAUAGUGAAAACACCAUUAAUUUGUCUGAAGUCUCUACUUUUGGGAUCUUAAUGGGGGAGAAAAUUUUUAGAUAGAAACUGAAUACGAUAUAUAAAGUAAAUGCCACGUUAAAAGCUCAGUUCUUUGGAAAAUAAAUUCCAUCACGACUGAACCAAAAAUUCCCUUGUGUCAUAAUCUUUUGUGGAAAAUUAGGCACAUAAUGGAAAAGUAUAUCCACAAAAUGAUAGAAAAAGGCUUUGGGCCACAAUUAAAUCAACAUCUUUAAAUUGUUAAAUCAAAUUAAAGAUGGAAUCGUCGUUGUCAUGGGAUCCACACGGGGUGUACGUAUAAUGAAUUUCCCAUGUUUUUUGCAUGAAACUUUUGAUUCAAUGAGAAAGGAAAUAUUUUCAAAAUCAUGCAGCUUCGGAUUCUAAUUAAGCUUAUUUUUUUCCAAGCAAUUGCAAAGAUUUGUUUCGACAACAAAUAAUAAUCGGAUAAAAGUGUAAUUAUUAAAUAGUAAUUACAAAAGAUUUAUAAUUACAAAAUUAGAUCGUAAUUUUCUAUAUCAUAUUUCGUAGUACAAAUUGUAAAUUAUAAUUAUAAUUACAUAGUUACUUAAUAUAUUUUUUUAAAAUAUUAAUUACUAUAAUAAAUUAUCAGUAAAAUUAAAAAAUUUCUAAACAAGUAACAAAAAUUAAAAUAAAAUCAUCAUAUUUAAUAUGUUAGCCCAAGAAACUAAUCGAUAAUGAUUACUAAUAAAAUUAUAAGAAAAAUGAUUUAUUUUAGGUUAUAACAAAUAUAUAUUUUUUUUUUGAACAAUGAGAUUUGAACCUAAGCAAUUCCUUGGAAAGAUGAAUACUCGACCAAUAGACUACAACUUAAAGUUUUUUAGAAUAUUAUAACCAUUUUUAUAAUUCAUGAAUUAGGUUAAAAUAGUAUAAAAUUUUAAUAUAUAACAAUUAUAAAAAAAUUAUAAAGUGUCCAAUAACUUCCAAAACACUUCUUAUAAAUAAUAUUUUUUUAUCUUUUUUUUUUUAAAUAAGUCAUGGCAAAAAAUUAUAAUUGUUUAUAAAUAAAUAUUAUUUUCUAUAACAUAUAGUAUAGACACAUAAGUAAGUUAUAUUUAAAUUUUUUGACCAUAACUUUUUUAUAAGUAAGUAUGUAGUACACUUUUUAUAAAACAUAAAUUAUUUUUAUAAUAUACUUUUGGCCUAUAACUUUAGAAACUUUUUAGGAUUUAAAUAAUAUAAUUCUUGUCAUAACUUUAUAAAAUAUUAAAAAUAUAUAAUAGUAAUUUUUAGAACUUAUAAUAUGAUUUUAGAAAUUUUUAUUCAUAAUCAUCCUAAACACGUAUGCGUAUUUAUGUUUAUAAAAUAAUUUUUUAACUUAAAUUUGUAUAAAAAAUAUUUUUUAAAGUUAAAUUAUGUAUGAAUUUUCCGUGAGAAAUUAAUAUAUCGGGAAACAUGCGUUGACAUAUACUUUUGAUAAAUUCAAAUCAGGAGGUAUCAUAAUUAUCAAGAAAUAUGGACCAUAGGAACAGCAAAGAUUCAAUCCUAUAAUAUAGUAUUUGCAUUAUUGAUACUAAACAUAGAAAUUCCAUGAAGAAGAAAGCAUUGCGCAUGAUGAAUUAAGUUCCAUGACAAGGACUAAAACAAUGACGAUAACUUGCCCCUACAACUAUUGCAACAAGAGCUUGAAUCCUUUGAUGAGUUCCUUUAAAUUCAUCGUUUGGAAACCAUAACAUAUAUGCUACCACUAAAUACUUACCAGAUUAAACAAUGGCCUCAUCCCUAACCAUUUCUGUUAUUCUAGGGGUACUGUGGGCUGCCAUCCUUCUUUCCUUUGCUACAACUGUAACAGCAGCAUAUCCAUCGCCAUUGGAGUCCGAAGCCAUAGCUCUGCUAGAAAGCAGGUGGUGGAGUAACCAUAGCAGCAAUACUUCACAACGUUGCCAGUGGCCUGGUAUAACCUGCAACACUGCUGAAAGCAUCACCAAAAUUAACUUAUCUGAUGCGCCCAACAUUGAGGUUGGAGAUAGAUUUGGGAAACUGAAUUUCUCUUCAUUUCCAAAUCUUGUCCUUCUUGAUCUUAGUGACCAUCAACUUAGAGGAAAAAUCCCGCAUCAGAUAGGUGAUCUAUCAGCAUUGAAGUACCUUGACUUGUCUUAUUGUGGUUUAUCUGGUGAGUUACCUCCUUCUCUAGGGAAGCUGACCCAAUUAGAAUUCCUCGACAUUUCCUAUAAUGAUAAUAUUAAUGGUUCCAUCCCUCCACAAUUGGGGAAUCUAGAGAACCUUGUGACUUUAAACUUAAGUCAAUGUGGAAUUGUUGGUCCAAUCCCUUCUGCUUUGGGUCAAUUAACCAGUCUCCAAUCUCUGAUCCUUUGGGGGAACCAAAUCAAUGGAUCUAUCCCAUUAGAAAUUGGAUAUUUGAGAAAUUUGACUUAUUUGAGUCUCUCCAACAAUAGAAUUGUUGGUCCAAUCCCUUCUGCUUUGGGUCAAUUAACCAGUCUCCAAUCUCUGAUCCUUUGGGGGAACCAAAUCAAUGGAUCUAUCCCAUUCGAAAUUGGAUAUUUGAGAAAUUUGACUUAUUUGAGUCUCUCCAAGAAUAGAAUUGUUGGUCGAAUCCCUUCUGCUUUGGGUCAAUUAACCAGUCUCCAAUCUCUGAUCCUUUCGGGGAACCAAAUCAAUGGAUCUAUCCCAUUAGAAAUUGGAUAUUUGAGAAAUUUGACUGAUUUGAGUCUCUCCAGCAAUGGAAUUGUUGGUCCAAUCCCUUCUGCUUUGGGUCAAUUAACCAGUCUCCAAUCUCUGAGCCUUUCGGGGAACCAAAUCAAUGGAUCUAUCCCAUUAGAAAUUGGAUAUUUAAGAAAUCUGACUUUUUUGGGUCUCUACAACAAUAGACUUGUCGAUUCAAUACCCAUUACUCUGUACCAAUUAACCAAUUUGGAAAUUUUGUACCUUGAUAAUAACCAACUUCAAGGUUCUAUUCCCCAAGAAAUUUGUAAUCUAGCAAAUUUAACUUCAUUGUACCUCUCCCAAAACAAAUUGACUGGUUCAAUCCCUUCUUGUGUUGGUAGUUUAUCAAAGAUGCAGGACUUAGCCCUUGGUUCUAAUCUAUUAAAAGGUCCUAUUCCCCAAGAAAUUUGUAAUCUAGCAAAUUUAACUUCAUUGGCCCUCUCCCAAAACAAAUUGAGUGGUUCCAUCCCUUCUUGUGUUGGUAGUUUAUCAAAGAUGUGGUACUUAAGCCUUGAUUCUAAUCUAUUAAAAGGUUCUAUCCCAAAAGAUAUUGGCAAGCUUUUUGAUCUAUCAUAUCUAAACCUUAGCUUCAACCAACUCUCAGG